AUGCACAUGGAGGAGGUGAUUGAGAGUAAAGUGAUGGAGGACCGUUCUGCUGAAGGUGAAGAUGGUUUGGUGACGGUCUCAGGUCUGUACACACAAAACCCUUUACAGCGCAGCGUCAGUCAGCUCAUCGUCAAGAAAGACGAGGAAUCAUGGGAGCCGCACUUCAGACGCCUUGACAGCGGCCUGUUCGAAGGUGAGGAGUUUGUGGACACCAUCAAAGGCUUCAGCACAGUCAGGAAGGAACACACCAUGUUCACCGACACCAACCUUUGAACUUCAUCAUGACCUUUGACCUUCAUCAUCAAACAUCAUCUCAGAACUGAGCGGAAAAUGAACUGAACUGUUUUGGUGAAUUCAGAACUGCUCUGGGACUUUAUGGACCCGUGACACCAACAGGAGGAAACUAGAUUAUACAGCAGACAAAAAAAAAAGUUCACAUUAAUGUGAAACCAUUGAAUUGAAAACAAUAUUUCUAGCAAAUAAGCAUUGUUUAAAGUUGGCUUAGAAAUUUGCAAAUUCUUUGCUGAAACGCACCACUUUUGCUUUUUUAUUUGAAGAAAACAGUGUUGUACUGUUAUGACAAAUGUAAUAUUUAAGCAUUAAGCACAAGAGGCCGAUGUUCCCUCUAAGCUGUGCUUCUUACAUCAUAACCAUGCAGAAGAAAUAAUAUGCUGUGCACAGGACAGAUGUAAAAAUGAGCUGGGAAAUCCAUUUGAUUUAAUUUAGGGAACGUGAAAUAAUUGCAAUGCUUGGGCAAACUGCUAUAGAGUUGAUGUGGCUAUAGAACCGGUGAAUGCGGUUUACAGGUUUCAUAGAAAGAGAAUAAUGUGCACCAAAUCAGUCACUGUAGAGAUUGAAUACUUUAAUGUUUGUGGGCGAAAUAACAUGAGAGCCAACGUAAAUGCAAUAACGUGAAAUAGAAAUUUCAUUAUGUUUUAAAGAAGAGUUGCUUAAUUAAGUGGUGGAAAUGAUGGGCACACAAAACUGUAACAAAACAUUUACAGUCACACACAGGUGUAGCAGUGUGCAAACUCUGCUACAUGGGGAUGCUUAGUUAACUGUAAAAGAAUUAAGAAAAUAUUUGUUUUAUUAUAUUACAUUUUAUUACAUUAUAUGCGCUGUACAGGUCUUCCCCAAAAAAAAGAAAAAAAAAAAUUAAGAGGGAACAUUACAAGAGGCUACGUCAUAAUAAAGAUAUUAAAUAUACAACUUUUCA
ensembl:lncRNA